rnacentral:misc_RNA from 1 species
CCUCCUUAUCUUGAAGUAAAAUUGCUUAAUGGAAGUCUUCGGAUUUCACGAGUGUUCACACAAAUUGUAUGAUAAUGAAUUAGAAGAAACGAUAGGUCUGUAGCUCAGCUGGUUAGAGCGCACCCCUGAUAAGGGUGAGGUCGGCAGUUCAAGUCUGCCCAGACCUACCAAUUUAUUGCUAAAAUCAAUUGGUGGAUUCUUCUAAAAUAAAGAAAGAGACCAAACUUAAAACAUCAUAUGAUGAUGAGUUAAGUUUGGUUUUUACUCUCACUAGAGAGAUUAAUCACUUUUUUAACCGAAUGCGUGUUAAGAAUGAGUUCUUUAACAAUCUGGAAAGCUGAUAUAAAUAUCGGUAUUUAUAUAACAAACACGGUGUC